AACCAACACAUCACCUGGCUGUGGUAUAAAAAUGGUGCUGUGAGGGGGAGCCUGGGUGUACCAGCUAGCUCUGCUCCUGGCCACCUCAUCCCUUCCAGUCUGAGAAGAUGUGCUUGGAUCAAAUCCAGAGACCAAGAGGACUGAAACAUCUUAGUCAUGGCCUCAACAAUUUCAUGGAAAGGUACCAUGUCAUAUAUUCAACUGUCCCCACUGGAAAUAAGAGAGUUUGAAGAGGGAUCGGAUUUUAACAAAAAAGAUAGAAGGUAGACAUAUGGAAAAACUUCCUCAUGCGAUAUAAAACUUCAGAAUCAGCCUACUUCAGAGAUUUUUUUUUUCUGCCCGGGAUAGGUUUAAGUCUGUGCCUAUCCAAGGGGAAUUGAAAAAAACAAAAUUACUUUUCUGUGGCUUCCCCAGAUGUGGGCCUCAGUGCAAUUUGUUCAUUAGCUCUGGGAGUAUACCCCUUCUCGGUCCUUCUAAAUGUAGUAGCUGAUGGCUAGAUCACAAGUUUGGGAGGCAGGAAGCCUUGAGUUCCAGUACCAGGUCUGCCAUUAACCAACUGUGCUACCUUGGUAAGUCCGUUAACCUCCCUGAGCCCUAGUUUCCUUGUCUGUAAAAUUCAGAUAAACAACCUCUUAAGGUUGUGGAGAGCAUUUAGUGAAGUGGUGUGGAAAGCACCUAGGACACUGCCUGAUACUCAGUAGGUGCUCAGUGGUUGAUACA
rnacentral:lncRNA from 1 species